CACGAGCGGCGAACGGGUGAGUAACACGUGGGUGAUCUGCCCUGCACUUCGGGAUAAGCCUGGGAAACUGGGUCUAAUACCGGAUAUGACCUCCUGUUGCAUGGCUUGUGGUGGAAAGAUUUAUCGGUGCAGGAUGGGCCCGCGGCCUAUCAGCUUGUUGGUGGGGUAAUGGCCUACCAAGGCGACGACGGGUAGCCGACCUGAGAGGGUGACCGGCCACACUGGGACUGAGACACGGCCCAGACUCCUACGGGAGGCAGCAGUGGGGAAUAUUGCACAAUGGGCGAAAGCCUGAUGCAGCGACGCCGCGUGAGGGAUGACGGCCUUCGGGUUGUAAACCUCUUUCAGCAGGGACGAAGCGCAAGUGACGGUACCUGCAGAAGAAGCACCGGCUAACUACGUGCCAGCAGCCGCGGUAAUACGUAGGGUGCAAGCGUUGUCCGGAAUUACUGGGCGUAAAGAGUUCGUAGGCGGUUUGUCGCGUCGUUUGUGAAAACCAGCAGCUCAACUGCUGGCUUGCAGGCGAUACGGGCAGACUUGAGUACUGCAGGGGAGACUGGAAUUCCUGGUGUAGCGGUGAAAUGCGCAGAUAUCAGGAGGAACACCGGUGGCGAAGGCGGGUCUCUGGGCAGUAACUGACGCUGAGGAA
rnacentral:rRNA from 1 species